rnacentral:rRNA from 1 species
GAUGAACGCUAGCGGCAGGCCUAAUACAUGCAAGUCGAACGGUGUCUUCGGACAUAGUGGCGCACGGGUGCGUAACACGUAUGCAACCUACCUUACAUUGGGGGAUAGCCUUUCGAAAGGGAGAUUAAUACCGCAUAAGACAGUAGCUGGGCAUCCAGCAGCUGUUAAAGAUUUAUCGAUGUAAGCUGGGCAUGCGUCCAAUUGGCUAGUUGGUGAGGUAACGGCUCACCAAGGCAAUGAUUGGUAGGGGAACUGAGAGGUCAAUCCCCCACACUGGCACUGAGAUACGGGCCAGACUCCCACGGGAGGCAGCAGUAGGGAAUAUUGGGCAAUGGACGCAAGUCUGACCCAGCCAUGCCGCGUGCAGGAUGAAGGCGUUAUGCGUUGUAAACUGCUUUUAUACAGGAAGAAACGACUCUUGCGAGAGGCAUUGACGGUACUGUAUGAAUAAGCACCGGCUAACUCCGUGCCAGCCGCCGCCGUAAUAC